UGGAAGUCAGCGGUGGGUCUGCGAAAGCGCAAACAGGAGUGGUGGACAGCAAGUGAAAGCUCACCUCGAGCCGUAAGGAACACGGAACAAAAGAGAGUGCAGUUGCAAGAUUUAAUAGAGUGAAGACAGAGCUCCCAUACAAAAAGAGAGGACCCAAAGAGGUCAUCAGUUAGAUGAAUAUGUAUUUGAAAGCUGUUCAUUCAUUGUGGAGAUGUGGGUAGACAGCAGUAAAUAUGCCCCAUGGCACUGAUUAACUCAAAGUGGCUCCAGGCCAAAGAUUUUAUGCUUCAGUGGAGAUAUUUUUGCCAGGUGUCUCAUUCUAUAAACUCAAUGGCUAUUGAGUUAAUCUUCAAGUUAUUUUCCUACGGGCCCUUUUAAGAGAAGGUUGGAAAGAAUGAACCAUGUUUACCAGAGAUGUUUCCCAAGAUGGACAACAGACUGACCAUGUUGAUUCAGAACUAAGUACUAAUAAAAAGGAGUUUAAUAAGAAGUCUAAUAGAAAUCAAAUUGUAUUUAUCAACUUUAAUUCUAUUUUAAUGCACGAGUCCUAACAGCCAAACGACUAAUAUGCUGACAUUUCUUAAUUCAUUUUUUCUGACUGUGCUCCCAAAAGGUGUGUGAAAAUGCAGUUUAUAAAUUAA
rnacentral:lncRNA from 1 species